UGCAUAUCGACGAUUUGCAUUGCAUUGCAGUGCAGCACUAAUCUAAUCUAACCUGUCUGUCAUUUGAUUGUCAUCCCAACGUAAUUUUAGUUGGAGGUUAGAAAAUAGAAAAUCGGAAAAAGAGAAUUACUUUUAUAAAUAUUAGAUUACAAUUUAUACUUACACUCACUAAAUUGCUGCAAAGUUGUGAAAUUCGCAAUGUAUCGCUUACCUUUUGGCGAGAGGGUAGACCCCAUGGAGGAAAAGCGUCAAGCACGAGAAAACACAAUCAAUAGCGUAAUCACAUUCUGUGUGCUUUGUGCCGCUAUUCGAGUCGCGCCAUUUAUCUUGGAACAAGGUGGAUUCAAUGUUUGAAGAUUUUAGAUGAUAAGUUAAAAAAUUUCUGUGGUAGGUAUAUGUAGAAAUAAAUAUACUUUAUUUUGGUUA